AUCAAAGGCAGCAUGCACAAUUGGCUGAAUAAGGGGCUGUUUACAUGAUCCCGCUUUGCCAUUACUCUCAUGAUGUUUUUAUAUCAUUAUAUAAAACUAAAACCACCACCAAAUACAUAAAGAAUACAUAAAGGAAACUAAGUAAGUUAUACUUUAUAAUUAAAAAAAUUAAAGUAAAUUUGUAAUGCAAAAUAUAAUAAAAUUAAAAAAUAAAUAAAUACCCACACAGAGCCUGGCCACCUGUGGUUUUAUAUGAAUACCUUCAAUGCUUAUAACUUCUUGCUUUUGUUAUGUAUACUUAUAAUGCUGUCAUUGGUGAAGCUAGCCAUAGCAACAAGUCAUGCUAUGCAAGUUAUUAAUGAUUUGUAUCAUUCAAAUAGAUGCAAGAUUAUCAGCAUAGGCAUAGCACAGAGGGCAUAGCAUGACGAGUUGCCAUGACUAGCUUGCCACUGAAUACUGUACAAUAUUAUAUAUUUAUAUAGAGAAUAAUACAUGGGUGUGCGGAAAUUUCGAGAAAUAAAUCUGGUAUUUCCAAGUAUUUAUGUUUAUUUUUCUGUUUAUUAUAUAAAGGACAGUCUUUGAAAAGCGAUAUUUUUUGCAGAAAAGCGAUUAUUGAAAAGCGAUAAUUUUCACAUGUGAGAUUGGGUCGUUCCAGAAAAGAUCCAUACUCCCCCCACGGAGGAAAUUUCUGCCGUCCGGAGGGGGAGGGGAGAAAAAAUUGUUUCUGAUAAUAGUAAAUGUAUUAGGACAUCCGAAGGGGGUAGGGGGGUUAACUUCCUAUUUCCUCAGCUUUAUCAGUGUUCGAAAUCUCUAUAAAGCACUAUACUUUAUAUAAUAAAUGUACAACAACAAUAAUAAUACUUGAAUGAAUCAUUAGACAUGUAAAAUUUAAUAACAAUUUCAUGUAUAGAAAUACUAUAAUACAAAACUACCCCUAUCACAGAACAUUAACUGUCAUUUUUGUUUAAUUUAAUACAUCAGAUUCAGAUGGCACCAUUCAUUUGUAAUGCCAAUGAUUAAGAUUGUACUCAGUCAUAACUUCAAAACUGUAUAUUAAUAAGAAAGAAAUUGUGAGCAUUAUCGAGAAAAUAUAGUAUACCCUGAAAUGUAGUGACACAGCCAGGUG